CCCAGAGUGGUGCAAUGGUAGCAUUCCAAUCUGACACGUGGGGAAGCCUAUAGAGCGGAACCAUGCCCGCAAGGGAUGAAGGGAUCUAGGUUCGAAUCCUAGCUCUGGGA